rnacentral:rRNA from 1 species
CUACGGGGGGCUGCAGGCGCGAAACCUCUACACUGCACGAAAGUGUGAUAGGGGGAUCCUAAGUGCUCAUGCUUUGCAUGGGCUUUUGCUAAGAGUAAAUAUCUUAGCGAAUAAGUGGUGGGUAAGACUGGUGCCAGCCGCCGCGGUAACACCAGCGCCACAAGUGGUGACCAGCAUUAUUGGGCCUAAAGCGUCCGUAGCAGGGAGAAUAAAUCUUCUGUGAAACUGUUAAGCUUAACUUAACAACGUGCAGGAGACACUAUUUUUCUAGAGACCGGGAGGAGUCAGAGGUAUUUUUGGGGGAGCGGUAAAAUGCUAUAAUCCCAAGAAGACCACCGAUGGCGAAGGCAUCUGACCAGAACGGAUCUGACUGUGAGGGACGAAGGCCAGGGGAGCAAACCGGAUUAGAUACCCUUGUAGUC